AUUGAACGCUGGCGGCAGGCCUAACACAUGCAAGUCGAGCGAGUGGCGGACGGGUGAGAAAUGUAUGGGGAAUGCCAGAUAGAGGGGGAUAACUACUGGAAACGGUAGCUAAUACCGCAUACAAUCGGAUAAAACAAAUGGGAUUAGCUAGUAGGUGAGGUAAUGGCUCACCUAGGCGACGAUCCCUAGCUGGUCUGAGAGGAUGAUCAGCCACACUGGAACGGAGACACGGCCCAGACUCCUACGGAGGCAGCAGUGGGGAAUAUUGCACAAUGGGCGCAAGCCUGAUGCAGCCAUGCCGCGUGUAUGAAGAAGGCCCUAGGGUUGUAAAGUACUUUCAGUCGGGAGGCGUUACCGACAGAAGAAGCGCCGGCUAACUCCGUGCCAGCAGCCGCGGUAAUUC
rnacentral:rRNA from 1 species